CCUACGGGGGGCAGCAGUGGGGAAUAUUGGACAAUGGGGGGAACCCUGAUCCAGCCAUGCCGCGUGUGUGAAGAAGGCCCUCGGGUUGUAAAGCACUUUCAGUGAGGAAGAACGCCUGGUGGUUAAUACCCAUCAGGGAAGACAUCACUCACAGAAGAAGCACCGGCUAACUCCGUGCCAGCAGCCGCGGUAAUACGGAGGGUGCGAGCGUUAAUCGGAAUUACUGGGCGUAAAGCGCGCGUAGGUGGCUUGAUAAGCCGGUUGUGAAAGCCCCGGGCUCAACCUGGGAACGGCAUCCGGAACUGUCAAGCUAGAGUGCAGGAGAGGAAGGUAGAAUUCCCGGUGUAGCGGUGAAAUGCGUAGAGAUCGGGAGGAAUACCAGUGGCGAAGGCGGCCUUCUGGACUGACACUGACACUGAGGUGCGAAAGCGUGGGUAGCAAACAGGAUUAGAUACCCGUGUAGUC
rnacentral:rRNA from 1 species